AUGGUCAAAUCAUGUUGAAACACCAAUUUGCAUAUGAUCCCCAAAGUUAAGAAAUGUUGAGCCUAGUCAGUACCUAGAUAGGUGACCACUUGGGAAUACUAGGUGUUAU